CCUAAACGCGUUUGGCAGCAAAUGAGAACAGCGCGUUCCAGUUUUUCCGAUCCCUUUCAGAACCGCCCGUCCCACAGAUUCACAGAACUUUUCGUGCUCCCAUCUCCCCCCGUUCUCGUACGCACUGCAUUUCAUCAAUUUCCUCUCUCUCUCUCUCUCGCGCGCGCGCACUCGGGCUGCAGUCUCUCUCAGUCGUCUCUCUCGCAGGUAACCCGACUGCGCGCUCUCUCUCUUGCGGCGGGAAAGGGCGAGGGCAGCUUCUGUCUUUAUCUGUCGUCGCCGUUGGCAGGAAGCAUUAUCCAUUGAGCUGACCUUCAUCAAACAAAUUUGUCUUGCUUUCUUGUUAAUGGCGGAUUCUCUAGAUCCCAACCAAUCUGGACAAGUGUGCAAUUACUUUAAGAAACCAUCUAAGAAGCCAAACAUCCGAAAGCGAGCCUUAGAUGAUGAAGACGAAGAUGCAAAGGAAGAUGGUGGUCAGAGCUCAGGGUCUUCUGCUGUUCGGAUAGAAAAGGCUGCCAGAAAGGCUGACAACAAGCUCUACUUCUCUACUGCCACGGCUAGGACCUCCAAAUCUUCGGCACAGUUUGAUGGGGACUCAGAAGAACCUGUGUUUCAAUUUGAAUCAUCAAAGGUGAUACAAGUUCAGCAUGACAGUAAAGCAACAGCAACACUUGAGACUGAAACAGAAUUCACUCGUGAUGCUCGAGCAAUACGUGAGCGGGUACUAAAGCAGGCUGAUGAGUCAUUGAAAGGAAAGGCCCCUGCAGGGGAUGCAAAAAUCUACAAGGGCAUGCAUGGAUAUACUGACUACACUGCUGGGUUUCGACGUGAGCAAACUGUCUCCAGUGAGAAGGCAGGAGGCGCUCAUGGUCCUCUUCGGGCAUCAGCACACAUUCGAGUGUCAGCGAGAUUUGAUUAUCAGCCAGACAUUUGUAAAGAUUACAAGGAGACAGGGUACUGUGGGUAUGGAGAUUCUUGCAAAUUUAUGCAUGACCGUGGGGACUAUAAGUCGGGGUGGCAGAUGGAGAGAGAGUGGGAGGAAGCAGAAAAAGAGAGGAAGAGGAAGUUAGCAGCUGGAAUUGAUGUUAAUGGAGGCGAGGGGGAAGGUGAUGAUGAUGAUGAUGAGGAUGACUUGCCAUUUGCUUGUUUUAUCUGCAGACAACCAUUUGUUGAUCCUGUAGUCACCAAAUGCAAGCAUUAUUUCUGUGAGCAUUGUGCACUCAAGCAUCAUUCAAAGAACAAGAAGUGCUAUGUUUGUAACAAGCCAACUCUUGGUAUCUUCAAUACGGCCCAUGAAAUUCGAAGGAAAAUGGCAGAGGAAAAGUGAAGCAGGACUAGUGCUUCCACAGAAAGUAGAAGGUACCACACGUACAACAAAUUCUGAUUGUAAAGUAACUUUCCAAAUGUAUCGGGAGUCCUCUCAUAUACCAUGAAGGCCAAGUGGCAUGAUUAUUGAGGAGUUCAGUCGGAUUUUCAAAUGAGUGUACUUCAUUUGCUAGCACAGAAUGCUGUAUAUGCCACCAGGUUGAUUCAAGAAGAGGCGUGGCUAUGGCUUUUCAAUUAACAGCCAAGCUUAGUUUGACUUCAGGAAGAUGCUCCUGCCGAGUUUCUUUUUCUUUUUUCAGUUGGAAGAGUCGUCAUAGGCUCUGUCCGUCGAAAUUGUUCCUGCAAGAUGGCAUUCCAUCAUGAGAUAAUAGAUGGCCUGAUGCUCGAGAAUGCACCGGAUACAUGUAAUUUUUAAUCUACAGGAGCUUGAUGACUAUUUUCUGGAUAAGAACAAGGUUAAGUAAAUGGGUAUCUUGUUCCAGUUCCUUGUCCACGAAAAUUGUUGAGAUAUUCUGGACGAAGAGAGGACAGAAAAGCUGUUGUACGAUCUUCAUGGAAAAGGAUGGAUCUUACAGAUUCCUGUGUGUCAGGUCAUUUAUUCUGCAGCAGCGCUCUGUUUGAGAUGCAUUACUCAUUAAAGCCGCCCAUGCCAUACUAUUGGUGAUGGGCUUGAUAUCCAUCCUGGAAAAUGUCAAAUUGAUGCUUUGCAGGUUUUAACCUGUGGGGCACGAUGAUGUCAUAUUUCUACUGGUGAUCAAGAUCACGAGCUGUAUUCUUCUGAGUCUGAGUCUGAUCACCAAGUGUAUUUAGUAGGCACAUUUACCAGAAAUGAAGUCUGAUUUUUUCUCCUGGCAA